rnacentral:piRNA from 1 species
UAACAUGGAUUGGUAUUGACCGAACAAUGU